GGGGUCAUAGCUCAGCUGGUAGAGCACCUGCUUUGCACGCAGGUGGUCAGGAGUUCAAUUCUCCUUGGCUCCA
rnacentral:tRNA from 1 species